CAGUUCAGAUUGCAGUCUGCAACUCGCUGCAUGAAGUCGGAAUCGCUAGUAAUCGCGAAUCAGAAUGUCGCGGUGAAUACGUUCCCGGGUCUUGUACACACCGCCCGUCACACCAUGGGAGUCAGUAACGCCCGAAGUCAGUGACCCAACCGAACAGGAGGGAGCUGCCGAAGGUGGGACCGAUAACUGGGGUGAAGUCGUAACAAGGUAAC
rnacentral:rRNA from 1 species